rnacentral:tRNA from 1 species
GCGGGCGUAGUUUAGUGGUAAAAUGCGGCCUUCCCAAGGCUGAGUUGAGGGUUCGAUUCCCUUCGCCCGCUCCA